GAUGAACGCUGGCGGCGUGCUUAACACAUGCAAGUCGAACGGAAAGGCCCUGCUUUUGCGGGGUGCUCGAGUGGCGAACGGGUGAGUAACACGCGAGUAACCUCCCCUUGUCUUUGGGAUAACUUUAGGAAACUGGGGCUAAUAUCGGAUAGGAGCUCCUGCUCCAUGGUGGUGGUUGGAAAGAUUCGGCGGUUGGGGAUGGACUGGCAGCUUAUCAGCCUGUUGGUGGAGUAGGGGCUUACCAAGGCUUUGACGGGUAGCCGGCCUGAGAGGGUGAACGGCGACAUUGGGACUAAGGUACGGCGCAGACUCCUACGGGAGGCAGCAGUGGAGAGUAUGGCACAAUGGGCGGAAGCCUGAUACAGCAACGCCGCGUGCGGAAUGCCGGCCUACGGGUUGUAAACCACUGUCGCCUGUGACAAAGAGUGAGUGACGGUAAUGGGUAAAAAAGCACCGGCUAACUACGUG
rnacentral:rRNA from 1 species